CUCAAGCAGAAAUAGUGGGCAUAGUCAAAAUCUGUUCAUAUUAUGGAUGUUCAUGUAGCUCAAAACCAGCAGGACUGUGAGUCAACUCUUUAUCAUGGGCAUUUUUCUUGUCUAAAUCAAAUAUACAAUUUUUUUCUAGCUGUGCUAAAAACAGUCAGAUCUGGUAUUACUAAUGCACCCUGCCUCUUCAUUUAAUGAAACUUACUGAGAGGAGGAAAUGUUCAUUAAUAUCAACAGUAUCUAAAUG
rnacentral:lncRNA from 1 species